rnacentral:lncRNA from 1 species
GCAGGAUGGACGCGUUGGCUGUCAUGAUGUAGGACCUCCUGACCUAGAACCAUGCCCGGCGCAGGGAGAACAACGAGCUUACGGACCGGGUGCGGGGGCUGCUGUGCGAGAAAGCCUACCUGCUGGCCCGGGAGCGUUCGCCGGCCCACCUGGUGGCUUUCCCUGGACGUUUAACGGCGACUCCGCCCGGCCUCCCGACUUUUUGAUGCAGGCGUUCUCUUACAUGACUUUCUUCGAGGCUAGAUUCUCGAAAGACAUCCUGAAGGUGGCUUUCUUAAUUAGCUGCCUCACCGGCUGGCGGAGCAGUUCGUAGUCGCCUACAUCGAGAGGGAGAGCCCCGUCCUGGCUCAGUACUGGGGCUUCGUGGACGCGCUGUAGCGGGUCUUCGCCGUCGUGGGUAGGAAACAGUCGGGCCGGAUCCCCGGUGUCUGGGGAGCGGCUGCCGGCCGGGCCCGCGCGAGCCGCUUCACUCCUACAAGCCCGGCUCACUAGUUCCAAGCUGCUGGACUUUGACCCUCGCUGGGAAGCUUGAUCGCCGCCUGUUCUCGCCAAUCUCUAUGCCUUUGCACUGCCCAGCAACCCGGUCACUGCCCAGGACCUGUUAAAAGUUGAAUGGACCUCCCAGAAUCACGCCGCUGCCACCGCCGUUUCUAGAGACGGCUUUUGGCCACCUUUGAGAAUCAGGGUCAAACUUGGAAGGGCCUGCAUUUGUCACACUUCCUCGGACACUAAUUUGGAUAGUUCAGGCCCAGAGACGGCUUCCCGGAACCUUCUGGAUUUCAGCUUUGGCAAGCUUCCUCUGUUUCUGAGACACCUCCAUCACCUGGGUUAC